UACAGAGGUGGCAAGCGUUUUUCGGAAUUACUGGGCGUAAAGGGCGCGUAGGCGGCCUUCUAAGUCAGACGUGAAAUCCCCCGGCUUAACCUGGGAACUGCGUCUGAUACUGGGAAGCUUGAGUAUGGGAGAGGGAUGUAGAAUUCCAGGUGUAGCGGUGAAAUGCGUAGAUAUCUGGAGGAAUACCGGUGGCGAAGGCGGCAUCCUGGACCAUAACUGACGCUGAGGCGCGAAAGCUAGGGGAGCAAACGGG
rnacentral:rRNA from 1 species